UACGUAGGGUGCGAGCGUUGUCCGGGAUUAUUGGGCGUAAAGAGCUCGUAGGCGGUCUGUCGCGUCGGUCGUGAAAACUUGGGGCUUAACCCUGAGCUUGCGGUCGAUACGGGCAUGACUGGAGUUCGGUAGGGGAGACUGGAAUUCCUGGUGUAGCGGUGAGAUGCGCAGAUAUCAGGAGGAACACCGGUGGCGAAGGCGGGUCUCUGGGCCGAUACUGACGCUGAGGAGCGAAAGCGUGGGGAGCGAACAGG
rnacentral:rRNA from 1 species